rnacentral:rRNA from 1 species
UUGAACGCUGGCGGCAGGCCUAACACAUGCAAGUCGAAUGGUAACAGGAAACAGCUUGCUGUUUCGCUGACGAGUGGCGGACGGGUGAGUAAUGUCUGGGAAACUGCCCGAUGGAGGGGGGUAACUACUGGAAACGGUAGCUAAUACCGCAUAACGUCGCAAGACCAAAGAGGGGGACCUUCGGGCCUCUUGCCAUCAGAUGUGCCCAGAUGGGAUUAGCUAGUAGGUGGGGUAACGGCUCACCUAGGCGACGAUCCCUAGCUGGUCUGAGAGGAUGACCAGCCACACUGGAACUGAGACACGGUCCAGACUCCUACGGGAGGCAGCAGUGGGGAAUAUUGCACAAUGGGCGCAAGCCUGAUGCAGCCAUGCCGCGUGUACGAAGAAGGCCUUCGGGUUGUAAAGUACUUUCAGCGGGGAGGAAGGGAGUAAAGUUAAUACCUUUGCUCAUUGACGUUACCCGCAGAAGAAGCACCGGCUAACUCCGUG